ACGUAGGUGGCGGGCGUUGUUCGGAUUUACUGGGCGUAAAGGGCGCGCAGGCGGCUAUCCAAGUCAGGCGUGAAAGCCCCGGGCUUAACCUGGGAGGUGCGUCUGGGACUGGGUGGCUAGAGUUCGGGAGAGGAGAGUGGAAUUCCCAGUGUAGAGGUGAAAUUCGUAGAUAUUGGGAAGAACACCGGUGGCGAAGGCGGCUCUCUGGACCGAGACUGACGCUGAGGCGCGAAAGCGUGGGGAGCAAACAGGA
rnacentral:rRNA from 1 species